UCCCUGGUGGUCUAGUGGUUAAGACCCUGUGACCCCAGUGCCAGGGGCCCAGGUUCAAUCCCUGGUCAGGGAA
rnacentral:tRNA from 1 species